rnacentral:rRNA from 1 species
AGCAGCCGCGGUAAUUCCAGCUCCAAUAGCGUAUAUUAAAGUUGUUGCAGUUAAAAAGCUCGUAGUUGAAUUUCGGGGUUCUAUCAUUGGUCAAGCUAUUGUUUGUACUGAUGUUUAGAAUUUCUACUUUUCUGGGGAAUCAUCAUAUUAUUAAUUUAACGUGAUGAGAAACCAGGACCUUUACCUUGAAAAAAUUAGAGUGUCCAAAGCAGGCUUAUGUCUGAAUACAUUAGCAUGGAAUAAUAGAAUAGGACGGUGGUCCUGUUUUGUUGGUUUCUGAAUCACCGUAAUGAUUAAUAGGGAUAGUUGGGGGCAUUAGUAUUCAAUUGUCAGAGGUGAAAUUCUUGGAUUUAUUGAAGACUAACUUCUGCGAAAGCAUUUGCCAAGGAUGUUUUCAUUAAUCAAGAACGAAAGUUAGGGGAUCGAAGACGAUCAGAUACCGUCGUAGUCUUAACCAUAAACUAUGCCGACUAGGGAUCGGACGAUGUUAAUUUUUCUUGACUCGUUCGGCGCCUUACGG